GAUGAACGCUGGCGGCGUGCCUAAUACAUGCAAGUCGAGCGAACGGACGAGAAGCUUGCUUCUCUGAUGUUAGCGGCGGGCGGGUGAGUAACACGUGGAUAACCUACCUAUAAGACUGGGAUAACUUCGGGAAACCGGAGCUAAUACCGGAUAAUAUUUUGAACCGCAUGGUUCAAAAGUGAAAGACGGUCUUGCUGUUACUUAUAGAUGGAUCCGCGCUGCAUUAGCUAGUUGGUAAGGUAACGGCUUACCAAGGCAACGAUGCAUAGCCGACCUGAGAGGGUGAUCGGCCACACUGGAACUGAGACACGGUCCAGACUCCUACGGGAGGCAGCAGUAGGGAAUCUUCCGCAAUGGGCGAAAGCCUGACGGAGCAACGCCGCGUGAGUGAUGAAGGUCUUCGGAUCGUAAAACUCUGUUAUUAGGGAAGAACAUAUGUGUAAGUAACUGUGCACAUCUUGACGGUACCUAAUCAGAAAGCCACGGCUAACUACGUG
rnacentral:rRNA from 1 species